GCGUGGAGACAGGUGGUGCAUGGCUGUCGUCAGCUCGUGUCGUGAGAUGUUGGGUUAAGUCCCGCAACGAGCGCAACCCUCACCCCUUGUUGCCAUCAGGUGAUGCUGGGCACUCUAGGGGAACUGCCCCGGUCAACGGGGAGGAAGGUGGGGAUGACGUCAAGUCAUCAUGCCCCUUACGCCCUGGGCUACACACGUGCUACAAUGGCCGGUACAAAGGGAUGCAAUACCGCGAGGUGGAGCUAAACCCAGAAAGCCGGUCUAAGUUCAGAUUGGAGUCUGCAACUCGACUCCAUGAAGGAGGAAUCGCUAGUAAUCGCGCAUCAGCACGGCGCGGUGAAUACGUUCCCGGGCCUUGUACACACCGCCCGUCACACCACGAAAGCCAGCUGUACUCGAAGUCGCUGAG
rnacentral:rRNA from 1 species